rnacentral:rRNA from 1 species
GGUGUAGUCUGCCCGGUGAAUAGAUUUAUUUUAACGGCCGCAGUACUUUGACUGUGCUAAGGUAGCAAAAUAAAUUGGCUUUUAAUUAAGGUCGAGAAUGAAAGGCAUAAUGGGUUGAGGCUGUCUCUUUAAUUCUACAUUAAUUUAUUUAAUAGGUGAAAAUCCCUAUAGCAUACCAUUAGACGAGAAGACCCUUAGAGUUUUUCAAAAUAUAGGCAUGAAAUUAGUACUAUUAUUUUUUGUUGGGGCGACAAAGUAUCAUUGUUAACAUACUUAAUAAAAAGGAAUUAAUACAAGACUUUAAGUAAAUAUGUAUAUAACUACCUAAGGGAUAACAGCAUUAUUUAUUUUAUAAGAUUGUGACCUCGAUGUUGGACUAGGAACUAAGUUUAUUAGUCAUAA